rnacentral:rRNA from 1 species
CACUGUGAGGGUGCAAGCGUUUGUCCGGAAUUGAUUGGGCGUAAAGGGCUCGUAGGCGGUCCGUCACGUCGGGAGUGAAAACUCGGGGCUCAACCCCGAGCCUGCUUUCGAUACGGGCGGACUAGAGGUAGGUAGGGGAGAACGGAAUUCCUGGUGUAGCGGUGAAAUGCGCAGAUAUCAGGAGGAACACCGGUGGCGAAGGCGGGUCUCUGGGCCGAUACUGACGCUGAGGUGCGAGAGCGUGGGGAGCAAACAGG